UACGUAGGGUGCAAGCGUUGUCCGGAAUUAUUGGGCGUAAAGAGCUUGUAGGCGGUUUGUCGCGUCUGCUGUGAAAUCUCAAGGCUCAACCUUGAGCUUGCAGUGGGUACGGGCAGACUAGAGUGUGGUAGGGGAGAGUGGAAUUCCUGGUGUAGCGGUGAAAUGCGCAGAUAUCAGGAAGAACACCCGUGGCGAAGGCGGCUCUCUGGUACGUGA
rnacentral:rRNA from 1 species